rnacentral:rRNA from 1 species
AGAAAAGCAGGGGAUCGCACAGACUUGCGCUUUUGGAGCGGCCGAUGUCUGAUUAGCUAGUUGGUGAGGUAAAGGCUUACCAAGGCUUCGAUCAGUAGCUGGUCUGAGAGGACGACCAGCCACACUGGGACUGAGACACGGCCCAGACUCCUACGGGAGGCAGCAGUGGGGAAUUUUGGACAAUGGGGGAAACCCUGAUCCAGCCAUGCCGCGUGAGUGAAGAAGGCCUUCGGGUUGUAAAGCUCUUUCAGCCGGAACGAAAAGGUUACGGUUAAUACCCGUGACUAAUGACGGUACCGGAAGAAGAAGCACCGGCUAACUACGUGCCAGCAGCCGCGGUAAUACGUAGGGUGCGAGCGUUAAUCGGAAUUACUGGGCGUAAAGCGUGCGCAGGCGGUUUUGUAAGUCAGAUGUGAAAUCCCCGGGCUCAACCUGGGAACUGCGUUUGAAACUACAAAGCU